rnacentral:rRNA from 1 species
UUGAAGAGUUUGAUCAUGGCUCAGAUUGAACGCUGGCGGCAGGCCUAACACAUGCAAGUCGAGCGGUAGCACAGAGAGCUUGCUCUCGGGUGACGAGCGGCGGACGGGUGAGUAAUGUCUGGGAAACUGCCUGAUGGAGGGGGAUAACUACUGGAAACGGUAGCUAAUACCGCAUAACGUCGCAAGACCAAAGUGGGGGACCUUCGGGCCUCAUGCCAUCAGAUGUGCCCAGAUGGGAUUAGCUAGUAGGUGGGGUAAUGGCUCACCUAGGCGACGAUCCCUAGCUGGUCUGAGAGGAUGACCAGCCACACUGGAACUGAGACACGGUCCAGACUCCUACGGGAGGCAGCAGUGGGGAAUAUUGCACAAUGGGCGCAAGCCUGAUGCAGCCAUGCCGCGUGUGUGAAGAAGGCCUUCGGGUUGUAAAGCACUUUCAGCGGGGAGGAAGGCGAUAAGGUUAAUAACCUUGUCGAUUGACGUUACCCGCAGAAGAAGCACCGGCUAACUCCGUGCCAGCAGCCGCGGUAAUACGGAGGGUGCAAGCGUUAAUCGGAAUUACUGGGCGUAAAGCGCACGCAGGCGGUCUGUCAAGUCGGAUGUGAAAUCCCCGGGCUCAACCUGGGAACUGCAUUCGAAACUGGCAGGCUAGAGUCUUGUAGAGGGGGGUAGAAUUCCAGGUGUAGCGGUGAAAUGCGUAGAGAUCUGGAGGAAUACCGGUGGCGAAGGCGGCCCCCUGGACAAAGACUGACGCUCAGGUGCGAAAGCGUGGGGAGCAAACAGGAUUAGAUACCCUGGUAGUCCACGCCGUAAACGAUGUCGAUUUGGAGGUUGUGCCCUUGAGGCGUGGCUUCCGGAGCUAACGCGUUAAAUCGACCGCCUGGGGAGUACGGCCGCAAGGUUAAAACUCAAAUGAAUUGACGGGGGCCCGCACAAGCGGUGGAGCAUGUGGUUUAAUUCGAUGCAACGCGAAGAACCUUACCUGGUCUUGACAUCCACAGAACUUUCCAGAGAUGGAUUGGUGCCUUCGGGAACUGUGAGACAGGUGCUGCAUGGCUGUCGUCAGCUCGUGUUGUGAAAUGUUGGGUUAAGUCCCGCAACGAGCGCAACCCUUAUCCUUUGUUGCCAGCGGUUCGGCCGGGAACUCAAAGGAGACUGCCAGUGAUAAACUGGAGGAAGGUGGGGAUGACGUCAAGUCAUCAUGGCCCUUACGACCAGGGCUACACACGUGCUACAAUGGCAUAUACAAAGAGAAGCGACCUCGCGAGAGCAAGCGGACCUCAUAAAGUAUGUCGUAGUCCGGAUUGGAGUCUGCAACUCGACUCCAUGAAGUCGGAAUCGCUAGUAAUCGUAGAUCAGAAUGCUACGGUGAAUACGUUCCCGGGCCUUGUACACACCGCCCGUCACACCAUGGGAGUGGGUUGCAAAAGAAGUAGGUAGCUUAACCUUCGGGAGGGCGCUUACCACUUUGUGAUUCAUGACUGGGGUGAAGUCGUAACAAGGUAACCGUAGGGGAACCUGCGGUUGGAUCACCUCCUU